GUGAAAGGGAAGGAGAAGGCUGGGAGAGGCUACGGGAGUAGUUGGUUCUCAUCGAUGAUGGAUUCCACGAUGUGCCUUCAAUUUUGUUAUACCCAUCGCUAGAGGACCCAUCGAACGAACGAACCCGCAGCCUUUCCUUCACAGCGUCGUCUCCUCUUUCUCUUUUUCUCGCCCAAGGAGCGUCGUGGGAUUCGUGGGAGCCUGUUUUCCGUUGUUGCCUCGUUGCAUCGCGAACAUGGGACCCCAUCGUGUUGUUGUUGUUGUUGUUGUUGUUCUUGUUGUUUUGUGUUGUACGACCACGGAACGUAGCUCGAAUUUCUGCUUAAGAUCGGAGACGAUUGUCGUCCAUUGGACCCUGUCCCAAGAAUUGCCGAAAUUCGGAUAAGAAAUAAG
rnacentral:lncRNA from 1 species